rnacentral:rRNA from 1 species
CCUACGGGUGGCAGCAGUCGAGAAUCAUUCACAAUGGGGGAAACCCUGAUGGUGCGACGCCGCGUGGGGGAAUGAAGGUCUUCGGAUUGUAAACCCCUGUCAUGUGGGAGCAAAUUAAAAAGAUAGUACCACAAGAGGAAGAGACGGCCAACUCUGUGCCAGCAGCCGCGGUAAUACAGAGGUCUCAAGCGUUGUUCGGAAUCACUGGGCGUAAAGCGUGCGUAGGCUGUUUCGUAAGUCGUGUGUGAAAGGCGCGGGCUCAACCCGCGGACGGCACAUGAUACUGCGAGACUAGAGUAAGGGAGGGGGAACCGGAAUUCUCGGUGUAGCAGUGAAAUGCGUAGAUAUCGAGAGGAACACUCGUGGCGAAGGCGGGUUCCUGGACAUUAACUGACGCUGAGGCACGAAGGCCAGGGGAGCGAAAGGGAUUAGAUACCCUUGUAGUC